rnacentral:piRNA from 1 species
UGCAUGGUCCCGAUGAAACGGAGUACAAACC